rnacentral:rRNA from 1 species
CAGUAGCCGCGGUAAUACGUAGGGUGCAAGCGUUAAUCGGAAUUACUGGGCGUAAAGCGUGCGCAGGCGGUUUUGUAAGACAGAGGUGAAAUCCCCGGGCUCAACCUGGGAACUGCCUUUGUGACUGCAAGGCUAGAGUACGGCAGAGGGGGAUGGAAUUCCGCGUGUAGCAGUGAAAUGCGUAGAUAUGCGGAGGAACACCGAUGGCGAAGGCAAUCCCCUGGGCCUGUACUGACGCUCAUGCACGAAAGCGUGGGGAGCAAACAGGAUUAGAUACCCCAGUAGUCCCUGUCUCUUAUAC